CACGUAGGGUGCAAGCGUUGUCCGGAAUUAUUGGGCGUAAAGGGCUCGUAGGCGGUCCGUCACGUCGGGAGUGAAAACUCGGGGCUCAACCCCGAGCCUGCUUCCGAUACGGGCGGACUAGAGGUAGGUAGGGGAGAACGGAAUUCCUGGUGUAGCGGUGGAAUGCGCAGAUAUCAGGAGGAACACCGGUGGCGAAGGCGGUUCUCUGGGCCUUACCUGACGCUGAGGAGCGAAAGCGUGGGUAGCAAACAGG
rnacentral:rRNA from 1 species